AGGCCCCGCGGGCCGGCGGGUCACCCAGGGGCGCGCACCCUCGGCGCUGGGGGUUGUCGAGCCCGGAGUUCCUCCCCUGGAGGAACUUUUCGGCCGGUGGGGAGGCCGCGGGGAGGCCGCGGGGAGGCCGCGGGGAGGUGGACGGGAGCCGCGCGGGGACACCGUGCGUCUGCAGCAGCGAAGCCCCUUCGCCCCGCGGCUACGCCGGCGAGGAGGCACCAGCGGGCCACGCGAGCAGCCCUCCCAGGGACAGGCCAGAGAACACGAGCUCGGGGACAGAGAAGCAACCGCAGGUCACACGAAAUGAAAGGCCGCUAACAGUGCCAUAGCGGUACCCAGGCGAUGCCCAGCGGGCAUUCCCAGGCAGAGCGCGAGCGGCAGCGGCCAGCCAGUAGCAGCCGGACUGCAUGCGUUGCCCUGCGGUGUGUGCGGAGCUGGUCCCCAAACAGGGAAACAUGAACCAGCUGUCAGCGCUGCGCGGAGGCCUGGGUGAAGGGUGCGUGUCCCCUCAGAGGGGCCGCGAACGCUGCUCCCAGACAAGAUGACAAUUCCCAGAAAUAAGUUUUAGCCACAAACCUCAGUGGAACCGUCUGAAAGCAGCCCCCCUCCCCCCGCAGUAGUGGCUAGAAAUAUGGGCUCCAGCUGCACGCUAAUGUACGUCUUGACCUGCAUUAGGAAUGGCUUCUGUGGACAAAGACCCUGCUCUCCGGCAGCUGUGGAGAUGAAAUCAACUUUGCUAAUAUUGGCCGAAUUAUUUCAGGCAGAUAUCCUCUAAAAUUCAUUUGAUAAAUAGCCAAUAACUUGGUACAGCAGGUCCAUUCAUUUUAUUGCUUAGAAGCCGCGGGUACCUUGGGCAACUGGUUCACACUGUCGGAUUCAUCACAAAACUCAAAAUGGCCAAGGUUGUGCAUGUCGGGCUUCGAUACUGUAUAAAUGAUGUGUCCUCAUCAGUGUAUCGCUUCUGGACUCACAAUGUGUCCAUCUGUCCCUCAUCCGUGAUGUUAUUUUGAUCACAGAGUCAAGGAAUACUCAAGAGGUUCCUCAAGUCAGAAGAACUUUGGAAUUUUCUUCUCCCUUUAUGCAUCCGUUACUCUGUUGGUGGAUUCCUAGUCCAAACAAAGACUUUGAGAAUUUUGUCUCAUGUCUUAUUAAAGUAUGCCCUAUAGAUGCUUGAAUGUCAGUUAAAAUUAUGUUCUAGUAAUUAUUUAACCAUCUUCUAUAGGUUUUUCAUUGUUUCUAAUAUUGUACUAGCAAAUCCUUAUCCUGCCUAA